UAUAAAAACGAACGUCGGCAACGUAGGCAUUUAGAAAAAUCUUCUCUAUCAACGUUGUUCAAGUUCCUCGACGUGUUUCACUUCACCUUAAGACUGUCAAAUUAAUGCGAACGAUUCACGCAUUCGACCGUCGUGAUUAUCCACGCAGGCAUAUACGAGUCAGUCACGACAGUAGUUCACGUUCCAUGGAAACCCGGCAUAAGACUGGCAAAUCAUUGCGAACGAUUCACGCUUUCGACCGCGGGAUUCUCUACGCAGGCAUACACGCUAGAAUCGUUCACGACAGUAGUUCACGCCCCAUGGGAACCCGGCAUACGACUGGCAAAUCAAUGUGAACGAUUCACGCUUUCGACUGUCGGGAUUAUCCACAAAGGCAUAUACGAGUUGUUCACGACAGUAGUUCACGCCCCAUGGGAACCCGGUAUAAGACUGGAAAAUCGAUGUGAACGAUUCACGCUUUCGACUGUCGGGAUUAUCCACAAAGGCAUAUACGAGUUGUUCACGACAGUAGUUCACGCCCCAUGGGAACCCGGCAUAAGACUGGAAAAUCAUUGCGAACGAUUCACGCUUUCGACCGCGGGAUUCUUUACGCAGGCAUACACGCUAGAAUCGUUCACGACAGUAGUUCACGCCCCAUGGAAACCCGGCAUGAGAUUGGUAAAUCAAUGCGAACGAUUCACGUUUUCGACUGUCGGGAUUAUCCACGCAGGCAUAUACGAGUCGUUCACGACAGUAGUUCACGUUUCAUGGGAACCCGGCAUAAGACUGGCAAAUCAUUGCGAACGAUUCACGCUUUCGACCGCGGGAUUCUCUACGCAGGCAUACACGCUAGAAUCGUUCACGACAGUAGUUCACGCCCCAUGGGAACCCGGUAUAAGACUGGUAAAUCAAUGCGAACGAUUCACGCUUUCGACCGUCGUGAUUAUCCACGCAGGCAUAUACGAGUUGUUCACGACAGUAGUUCACGCCCCAUGGGAACCCGGCAUAAGACUGGCAAAUCAAUGCGAACGAUUCACGCUUUCGACCGCGGAAUACACGCUAGAGUCGUUCACGACCGUGGUUCACGCCCCGUGGGAACGCGGAAAAAGAGACGAGGGGAAAAUAAACGACAGCUUCUACACCAUGGUUGGUAUUUUAUUGAAUAUAUGGUCGCGUGCGCGAGCGUGCACGACGCGCGUGUAUAUGCAUCCGUGUGUGCAUAGGCAUACGCUACAUACAAACAUACACUUACUUACUUCCUAUGCAUAUCUCUGAUAUGGUACACACGUACGGCUAUACGCUUAUACACAGACGCGUGCGGACGCGCGAGCGCGGGAGGGCGGGAAGAGGCGCACCCGCCCUCGCAUGGCCGUUUUACUCUCAAAGCGGACUCAUCGUACCUAGCCACGUUCACGGACACGCAAGCGUGUCGGGGAAUGUCCGGAACGGUCGCUUUCGGAGUAAAACCGGAACCGUCGCGGCUGCAGCCUCGCAAUCGGCGUUUCCCGCGUCCGGCCGUUCCUUCUCGCGCUCGAGAACGAUCGAAACCGGUGGUGUAUUGACUGGUUCCGUAACUAGGGCAACACGCUACGAUAUCACGUCUUUGCAAAUAUAUCCUCGUUACGAUAGCGGUAAUAUAACGGUUAAUGAUACAGUGGUUAUUAUUCAGCUUUUGGUUAUAUGCGAGAUAAACCUUUUCCAUCCGUCUCUCUCUCUCCCUCUCUACCCUUCUAUGUAUAUUAUGUAUACCUAUCCUGAAUAUGUAAUGUACACAUGUGCAACAUAUAUAUGUGUAAUAUGUAUACGAUAUAUACAUGCAUUCGCGCGGGCACGCGCCCGCCCUCGGUUAUAGCUUCUGGCUGCUUCUCUUUUUUGUACACGCGACGUCGAUCUCGCUCUCGUUAACUCGAACGAAGCGUGUCCGCGUGAGCUCGAGUGCGCUUGCGCGGCCCGAACCUCCGGAAGAACUCGAGGACGCGUCGAAUCCAAAAUGGCGGCCCGACAAGGGCACUCGCGCCCUGCCGACACGGAACGUCACCUUCGCGCAUUUAUCGUUACGGUUAACGACGGAACUGUUUGACUUUGCGCUCUACUAGGAUACACACUCAUCUUAUUUAGUUUAACACGGUCUUACGAUUCGACGGCGUCUUCUCGUCGGGCCCGAAUGUAGAAGUACGUCCGCGGGAGGAGCGAUUUAGUCGAGCGUACGCAUAUAGAAGUGUAAAAUUGUAUUUGGUCCAGAGAGAUUUUCCAAUUCUUCUCGGGUUGGUUUCUCCUGCCCGGACCCCCGCGUUUGUCGCCUUCGUCUUCGCGGGACUCUUCCUCGAGAAUCGCGAGAGUCGAGCAAAAUCCACCGGGAGGGAGAGGACUUCUUCCCUGGACUGAGCGACCGGGGAAGACUCUCGAGGAGCUGCUUUAUCUCACUCUGGAAAAAAUACAUCUUCCUCCCCCGGGCGUUUUUAAGCUCCUCCCGUGAUUUUCGGAAAGAUGUCCGACGAGCGUCAACGGUGCGUCGUCCGACUCGUUAACGGGGCCCACGAUAUUAUCUCUCCCUCUUUUAGUCCUUUAACCCUUUCGUUACCUUGGACGAGAUAUCUCGCGACCCAAUACUGGCCGAUUAACGCUUUUGACGAGAUAUCUCGCGACCCGAUACUGGCCGAUCAACGCUUUUGACGAGAUAUCUCGUCCAAAGUAACGAAAGGGUUAACCGUUUGCGUACCAGAUGGUUCUGAAAAAACGGGAUCGAAAAGCGCCAAAGAGCGCGAUCGCGCUCCUUCGUCUGUUUCGGCCAAAUGCCCUGGCUUUUCUCGACACAAAAUCUGAAGAGCGCGAAAGUGGCUCGUGGUACGCAAACGGUUAAUGCCUGCAUUUCCACCGACCUCGGGCAAAAUGAUAAUCCUCGGUUACGAGUUGCACGUUCCCCCACAUUUUAACGGGGAGAUAAUUUCAACUAACCACCGUUUAGAUUAACCAGUCAAAUUAGAUCGUUUAGCUUAAGUUAAUCGAACUUUAACCUAAAAACCGCACAAACGUGAGAAAAACAUGGAUCAGACCGGGGACGUAUUAACAUAUCGUGACGAAACGGAUGAAGACGUUUUUCAUCGUAUUUACAAGUACUUAAUGAUCGAAGUACGCUUGAAAAUAUUUUAUAUUCAUUCUUAACCGAAGAAAUUUACUUCUUCAGGCUUGAAUCUGUUAAAUAAGUUCUUGCACGAAGAUAGGCGGACUUCGUGUCUCGAGAAGGGCGCAUCCAUCUUGAUUUCUAAUCAAUCGGAAUAUCAGUCAAGGUUCGCUAAGUAUAAUACGUUAUGUAAUAUACGUGGUUUUCUCCGGGUAUAUUACAACGUAUAAUACGUCCCUAGUUUUCUACGCGAGCGCAAGGUAUAUCACGCCUUUCUCUUUUUAAAUAUAAAAUAAGAAAUCCAAUUAGAAAUUUCACAUUAACCAGGGUUAAGCCGAUAGAAUUUGAACACAAACGCCAAAUUAAUUAUUUCUUAACAGUUUUCACGCGUUUAUAUGUGCGCUAAAGGACGUUAACCUCGGGAAUACAUAUAGCAUGCAUCUGUGGAUUCCGCCAUAUUGAAAAUGUAAAAUUCUAAACAAUUUCGAACACAAGCUCCAAAUUAAUUCAUUGUUCCUUAAAAUAUUUCCGUAUUUACAGAUGUGUUAAGAGACGUUUAUAACCUAAUAAAAGCCAUAUAUCAUCCAUUGCGGCAUUCUUCAUAUUGGAAACGUAA